UUAUAUUUGGAUGACACUCCGUCUUCUUCCUCACGACGUCCUUCAUGUGCAAUUAGUGUUCUCCAAAAGAGCAACAACUACCCUCAUCAGCUCUGUCUGAAACUUACGCUGAGUUUGAUAAAAGCCAAAAAGUGUCUAAGCGCAGUAGUCUCCGCUGUUGCUUCAAUUUGAAGAUCUAAAUGGCGGUUCCGGUGUACCAUAAUAAUCCUGCACAAGAUCAGCCUCAGACCCCGGCUCCAGUCCGUGAUUUUCUCCAGGCAAGCUUAAUGUUAAAUUACUCAGGUCGCAAGGUAUGGAGAUUCUCUACCUACACAUGUGUGCAGUAAAUGGACACCUUGACGUCGUCGAAAGCAUGGGGCCGGAAGUAUAAUUUUUUCAUUAGUAGUGAUGGGGCUUUUAAUUGUCAUGGUUCUGAAAGAGACAGGUUGGCCCUUUCGUAGGUUGGAAAGAAAGCAGUUGGCAAAGUUGGAACUGCUUUUAGGUUUAGUACACAAUGGAGAAUGGUUCAGCUUUUGGACCCAUGUUUGUAGUUACUUCCAGUUCAGUACAGCAUUAUGGGGUAUGUUGGAGGUUAACUUUUGUACUCAUGUGUCCUGGCGGUUGUUUUAUUUUGCGGAUUGCAACCUGCAAAAUACUCCUCUGCAAUAUGCAGUUCUUAAUGCACACAAACCUGUAAAUGUAACUAGAUUUGCAAGCAAGGUUUCAAAGACUCGCUCCGUUUCAAUCUAA